UCCAGCCUGCCAGUGACUCUGUUCAACGGCCGCGGUAUCCUAACCGUGCGAAGGUAGCGUAAUCACUUGUUCUUUAAAUGAGGACUAGUAUGAAUGGCACCACGAGGGUUAUACUGUCUCCUUUUUCUAAUCAGUGAAACUAAUCUUCCCGUGAAGAAGCGGGAAUGAAAAUAUAAGACGAGAAGACCCUAUGGAGCUUUAAACAAAUAUACACCUGCCCCUUUACCAAAAAUUUCAGAAAACAAAUAACUACUCAGGCAUUUUGAUAUAACGUUUUAGGUUGGGGUGACCACGGAGCAAAAAACAACCUCCGCAGCGAACGGGAAUAUUCCCUAAACCAAGGGCUACAACCCCAAGUAUUGAUAAAUCAACACUAAUUGACCCAAUAAUUUGACCAAUGAACCAAGUUACCCUAGGGAUAACAGCGCAAUCCACUUCAAGAGCCCCUAUCGACAAGUGGGUUUACGACCUCGAUGUUGGAUCAGGGUAUCCCAGUGGUGCAGCCGCUACUAACGGUUCGUUUGUUCAACGAUUAA
rnacentral:rRNA from 1 species